rnacentral:rRNA from 1 species
UACGUAGGGUGCAAGCGUUGUCCGGAAUUAUUGGGCGUAAAGAGCUCGUAGGCGGUCUGUUACGUCGGCUGUGAAAACCUGGGGCUCAACUCCGGGCCUGCAGCCGAUACGGGCAGACUAGAGUUCGGCAGGGGAGACUGGAAUUCCUGGUGUAGCGGUGAAAUGCGUAGAUAUCAGGAGGAACACCGAUGGCGAAGGCAGGUCUCUGGGCAUUAACUGACGCUGAGGAGCGAAAGCAUGGGGAGCGAACAGG